ensembl:lncRNA
AUGCUCGCAGCUCCAGACCUGGGAAGCCGGCUGGGGCGGCUUAAAACAUCAAUCGGGCAUCUUCAAGGUGCCAGGCACCCAGAGAGGCCCCAGAGACGACUAAGAUGCCGUCACAGGAGACAAACUGAUAAAACUGGGGACAUCAGUUUCCACGUGACCAGAGCCGUGGCCAGGGUACUUCGGGAUGCACAGAGCCUCAACUUCUGGAGAAAACCAUGCUGCAGCUCAGCCAUAUAGGUCAACUAGGGGUCAGUGGCAGAGGUACCCCAGCUGGAGGAGGCAGUCUGUGGCCUGGAAGAGGAUGGUGCAUGGGAGGAGGGUAAUGUCAUGUGGAGGUUACGCUUACAGCAGGGCUUGGGUGCCCAAGUAGGUUCCCACCAUAUAAUUUCAAGCCCUUGAAAAAUCAGUCUUAUGGGGGGGUUCCCUGGUGGCCCAGUGGCUGAGCCUCCAUGCUUCCAAUGCAGUGGACCUGGAUUCAAUCCCUAGUCAGGAAACUGGAUCCUGCGGGCCACAACUAAGACCCAGCUCAGUCAAAUAAACAAAAAAUCUCUUAUUGAGACUUAAUUUAUUCUCCAUAAAUUCACUGCUUAAAGUGCACAAUUCAGUGGUUUUGUUUCUUUUGUAUAUUUAAAGAGUAAUAUUUGUGUAUAUUUACAGUCAUACACCCAUCUCCAUAAUCUAAUUUUAGAACACUUUCUUCACCACCGAAAGAAACCUUCUAAGUAGGGGUUUUGAUAGGGGCCUGGACAAAUUAGCCUCACAUCUAUUUGGCAGCAGGGCAGAAAGGGGUUUGGAGGGGCAAGCCCCGCCCCUCCCUCCUCGAGCCCAGAAGGUAAGCAAAGAGCAUCGUAGGCACUGAGCACAAGGCUAAAGAUUUGUGGCAACAGCAGGUGAAAUUUACUCCAUCUCUUCGAUUCUUCUUCCUUGACAGGAAAAGAACUAGGUUUAUGAACACUCGGGCCAUUUUUUACUGGCUGGCUAUUUAGUGGCACUGAUACAAAUCAGUGUUUUUGAUGACUGUGGCCCAUUUACAAAGAAAAAUGGACAGAGCCGUAGGUAUCACAGGAAAACCCAGAAUUCUGGGGUGUCUGCACAAUGGGAGGAACAUAGCGCUGCUCAUGUGUUUCAUGCACCAAAAUCCACAGCUAGUCCGUAAGCCAGAAAAGGCAGGGGCUCUGUCCUGGAAGGCUCUGGAGGGUGACCGAGGUGUGGCCAUGUGAGCCAGGGUCGUGAGCAGGCCUUCCUCUGUAUAGCGUAGAUGGACCAUUCAAACCCGGAGUCCUUAGCCAGGCAAGGACCAAAGCAAAUGGAUGCGCCUCGGCAGUGACUUUGGGGGCAGGAUGGUCAGAUCUGAGCAUGACGCUACGGUAAUUAUUUUAGGUUUAUUUGUUUUUAAUUGCAAGUAAGAAACAAAAGCAAAAACAAAUUAAAUCAGCUUUCACAAUAAAGGAAACUCAGUUCUAACAAAAUCUUGAUCAGAGAAAUGUGAAAGAACUCUUCAUACAAAAACAUAGAAAUGCAUCAUAAAGUAUGCAUGCUUAGUUGCUUCAGUUGU